UGGUCGAGUCGGCCUGCGCGGAAGAUGUAACGGGGCUAAACCAUGCACCGAAGCUGCGGCAGCGACGCUGAUGCGUUGUUGGGUAGGGGAGCGUUCUGUAAGCCUGCGAAGGUGUGCUGUGAGGCAUGCUGGAGGUAUCAGAAGUGCGAAUGCUGACAUAAGUAACGAUAAAGCGGGUGAAAAGCCCGCUCGCCGGAAGACCAAGGGUUCCUGUCCAACGUUAAUCGGGGCAGGGUGAGUCGACCCCUAAGGCGAGGCCGAAAGGCGUAGUCGAUGGGAAACAGGUUAAUAUUCCUGUACUUGGUGUUACUGCGAAGGGGGGACGGAGAAGGCUAUGUUGGCCGGGCGACGGUUGUCCCGGUUUAAGCGUGUAGGCUGGUUUUCCAGGCAAAUCCGGAAAAUCAAGGCUGAGGCGUGAUGACGAGGCACUACGGUGCUGAAGCAACAAAUGCCCUGCUUCCAGGAAAAGCCUCUAAGCAUCAGGUAACAUCAAAUCGUACCCCAAACCGACACAGGUGGUCAGGUAGAGAAUACCAAGGCGCUUGAGAGAACUCGGGUGAAGGAACUAGGCAAAAUGGUGCCGUAACUUCGGGAGAAGGCACGCUGAUAUGUAGGUGAAGUCCCUCGCGGAUGGAGCUGAAAUCAGUCGAAGAUACCAGCUGGCUGCAACUGUUUAUUAAAAACACAGCACUGUGCAAACACGAAAGUGGACGUAUACGGUGUGACGCCUGCCCGGUGCCGGAAGGUUAAUUGAUGGGGUCAGCGCAAGCGAAGCUCUUGAUCGAAGCCCCGGUAAACGGCGGCCGUAACUAUAACGGUCCUAAGGUAGCGAAAUUCCUUGUCGGGUAAGUUCCGACCUGCACGAAUGGCGUAAUGAUGGCCAGGCUGUCUCCACCCGAGACUCAGUGAAAUUGAACUCGCUGUGAAGAUGCAGUGUACCCGCGGCAAGACGGAAAGACCCCGUGAACCUUUACUAUAGCUUGACACUGAACAUUGAGCCUUGAUGUGUAGGAUAGGUGGGAGGCUUAGAAGUGUGGACGCCAGUCUGCAUGGAGCCGACCUUGAAAUACCACCCUUUAAUGUUUGAUGUUCUAACGUUGACCCGUAAUCCGGGUUGCGGACAGUGUCUGGUGGGUAGUUUGACUGGGGCGGUCUCCUCCUAAAGAGUAACGGAGGAGCACGAAGGUUGGCUAAUCCUGGUCGGACAUCAGGAGGUUAGUGCAAUGGCAUAAGCCAGCUUGACUGCGAGCGUGACGGCGCGAGCAGGUGCGAAAGCAGGUCAUAGUGAUCCGGUGGUUCUGAAUGGAAGGGCCAUCGCUCAACGGAUAAAAGGUACUCCGGGGAUAACAGGCUGAUACCGCCCAAGAGUUCAUAUCGACGGCGGUGUUUGGCACCUCGAUGUCGGCUCAUCACAUCCUGGGGCUGAAGUAGGUCCCAAGGGUAUGGCUGUUCGCCAUUUAAAGUGGUACGCGAGCUGGGUUUAGAACGUCGUGAGACAGUUCGGUCCCUAUCUGCCGUGGGCGCUGGAGAACUGAGGGGGGCUGCUCCUAGUACGAGAGGACCGGAGUGGACGCAUCACUGGUGUUCGGGUUGUCAUGCCAAUGGCACUGCCCGGUAGCUAAAUGCGGAAGAGAUAAGUGCUGAAAGCAUCUAAGCACGAAACUUGCCCCGAGAUGAGUUCUCCCUGACCCUUUAAGAGUCCUGAAGGAACGUUGAAGACGACGACGUUGAUAGGCCGGGUGUGUAAGCGCAGCGAUGCGUUGAGCUAACCGGUACUAAUGAACCGUGAGGCUUAACCUU
rnacentral:rRNA from 1 species